UACGGAGGAUGCAAGCGUUAUCCGGAUUUAUUGGGUUUAAAGGGUGCGCAGGUUGUUUGAUAAGUCAGUGGUGAAAGUCUGUCGCUUAACGGUAGGAUUGCCAUUGAUACUGUUAGACUUGAAUAUGGAUGAGGUAGGCGGAAUGUGUAGUGUAGCGGUGGAAUGCGCAGAGAUCAGGAGGAAUACCGAAGGCGAAGGCAGUCUUCCAAGCCGUUAUUGACGCUCAACUGCGAAGGUGUGGGUAUCAAACAGGAUUAGAUA
rnacentral:rRNA from 1 species